rnacentral:rRNA from 1 species
UACGGAAGGUCCGGGCGUUAUCCGGAUUUAUUGGGUUUAAAGGGAGCGUAGGCCGGUCUUUAAGCGUGCCGUGAAAUUUUGUGGCUCAACCAUAAAAUUGCCGUUGAAACUGGAAGACUUGAGUGUGUUUGAGGUAGGCGGAAUGCGUGGUGUAGCGGUGAAAUGCAUAGAUAUCACGCAGAACUCCGAUUGCGAAGGCAGCUUACUAAGCCAUAACUGACACUGAAGCACGAAAGCGUGGGGAUCAAACAGG